rnacentral:rRNA from 1 species
CUACGUGCCAGCAGCCGCGGUAAUACGGAAGGUCCAGGCGUUAUCCGGAUUUAUUGGGUUUAAAGGGAGUGUAGGCGGUUUGUUAAGCGUGUUGUGAAAUUUAGGUGCUCAACAUUUAACUUGCAGCGCGAACUGUCAGACUUGAGUACACGCAACGUAUGCGGAAUUCAUGGUGUAGCGGUGAAAUGCUUAGAUAUCAUGAAGAACUCCGAUUGCGAAGGCAGCAUACGGGAGUGUAACUGACGCUUAAGCUCGAAGGUGCGGGUAUCGAACAGGAUUAGAUACCCUGGUAGUCCGCACAGUAAACGAUGGAUGCCCGCUGUUAGCGCCUGGCGUUAGCGGCUAAGCGAAAGCAUUAAGCAUCCCACCUGGGGAGUACGCCGGCAACGGUGAAACUCAAAGGAAUUGACGGGGGCCCGCACAAGCGGAGGAACAUGUGGUUUAAUUCGAUGAUACGCGAGGAACCUUACCCGGGCUUGAAUUGCAGAGGAAUUAUUUAGAGAUAAAUAGGCCCUUCGGGK